AAGUCUAGAUCUUUCCAAUGGAAGACUCUAGACCAUUCUAGUUCCAUCUUGUAUAUUCUACUAGAUGUAGAGACUUGUAGAGAUUUGUAGAACUAUCAAGAACUUUGAUCUUAGCCAUUCAUUCAAAUAGAUAUUAGCCAUUGGUUAGGGGCUCUAGCAACUAUAAAUAGGCUAGUAGCAUUUGGCAUUGGUAUCACAGUAAACAUAGAGCAAUCCAACACUUGUACAAAGCUUUCUCUUGUUUAAUACUAAGCAUUCUUGCAAGCUUCUCUUCUUAGCUUCUCUUAGCUUUGUUGUGGCAAUAUUUCGGGG
rnacentral:lncRNA from 1 species